GCAGGGAGUGGUGGGGUGUAUUCCUGUGAUCCAAUUACUCGGAGGCUAGGAAUAGAGGAUGUUUUAGAGGCGGGGAUUCUGGGAUUAGAUUUCCCACGUUGACUAGGCAUCCGCUAUAGGAUGAAUCUUCAAUUUGGAUGCCUUGGGGGAGUCCGAGGUAACCAGGUUAAAAUCAAAAAGUCACCGAGUUGAGAGUCGUGGGUUCAAAUCCUGGGAGUCGGAGUUUGAUUUCAUCUCGUCCGAACAUGAAGACACUUGUACCUAC
rnacentral:SRP_RNA from 1 species